rnacentral:lncRNA from 1 species
AUGCUACCUUUAUUUGCUUUAGUAUAUGUCUAGGUUUGGAGUAGUUUCAUUUAUCUCUUAAAUAAGCAUGGUGCUUAGUUUAGGAAUGAUGAUCUUACUUCCAAGGAAUUUUAAAUUACGCAUGGUGCUUAAGUUAAAAUGCCCUCCUAAAUCAAAUUAGACAUAGUGUCUAGGUUGAUUUUUGAGCCGAUAGUAUGCUAUAGUAGAUAUUGGAUAUUUUGUUGGACUAACCCUGCAGGAAAACUUUCAAUAUCGACAUGGGAAGUCUUGAGAUAAACUCACAUUGGAGACAAAGAGAGAGACACAUGAAGUUUAACAAUUUACACAAGCAAGACAUAGCUCAUAAGAUAUGAUCCAUGGAGGGUGCCACAAACACGAUGCACAACCGCUAAGAAAGGAAGGCUUCCACAAGGUGAUACUGUACCUUCACUCUUCAAGUAAGGACCUAGAUCUACGAGCACAAACACACUGAGCAGGAUGCUGCCAACGUCGCACUUUGGACUGUUGGGCAAACGAAGAAUAUGGAUGACACUGUAUCAAGAGGUGCAGACGUCAAGGUCCACACCUGAAUCAAUUGACGCACCUAAAGAAUGAACACGGUGAGAAGUCUUGAUCAGAAGACUUAAAACAUUAAACCCUCACCGAAAGGUAAAAUCGGUAGUUAUCCAUAUUUAUCCAUUAUGUAUUCCCUUUUUCCUUAAAUUAUUUACUUUCCUUAAAUAGCUUGUUAGUUAAUCAUGCUAUCUUGGAAAGAAAUUAAAACUGUUAAAAAAAGUAAGCCCCAUGUGAGUAUGCUCGUGGCAUAAAACCCAUAAGUACAUUCACUCUGGUGGCGUAAAAAUAAAAAUAUUCCUGUUCUAUAAAAAUGAAAAUAUAAAAAUAAAUUUAUGAUCCUACCAAAGAGAGUAAUAUUUAUUAGAGGAAGCUCAACAUGAUACCGACUAAUAGAUUUUAUGCUAACACUUAACCAGUUCCACAAAGCUUUAUUGUCUAUUUGAGCUCCACAGAAUUCAAGGAUCAAAGAAGACUAGCAGACGGAGGACAUCCUAAUCACUGUCACGGUGCUGUCAACAUUCAAAUACACCUCCGCCAACUGCUAGCUACAUCAGAAGAAAUUACGUCAAAAACUAGCUUGGGGUAGAGCACCCCCAUUUAUCUAGCUAAGUGUUUCUACUCGCGUUUACACUUUACUCAAAUAAUAAAAAGAUGCAUAAUCAUAAAAACCCAAAUAAAGAUUUUGUGCUUAUAUAUAUAUAUAUAUCUUUGCUUAGUUUUCUAAAUAAAUAAAUAAAUAAAGUUUGCUAUGAACCCUCAUGAUAAGCUCUCACAUGGAAAUGAUGAAUAGUUGCUCUGCCAUGACUAGUUCUCAAAAUUAAAAUCUCUCUCAAGUUUACGCAUGACUGUUAUGAAUUAAGAUUUGCUCUAAACCUAAACUUGUGGGAAGAGUACUUGAUCUAAAGUCUAAGUCGUUAACGGAUACGAUAUGAGAAGGUUGAGCUGCUGUUUAUCUGUUCCUAGAGAUACUAGAAUUCUAGAGAAUUUUAUCUUUGAAAAUCUUUAAAAUGUUGCAUGAUGAGUUCCUGUAUGAUGAGAGUUUAAAAUCCUACCACAACCAUAUAUACAUGCUUAUUAGACUAUGAACCAUACAUUUACAUUUUACUACUUAUGAGCAUUAAGUGUGGUCAAUCUGUGUAGACCCUUAGGAGCUUGUCAUGCGGUUAAAAUCAAGAUUCACUUGCACGUUCACUCAUACAUGCUACUUCUACUCCAGAAGUACGCAUCCACAUACAUCCACUCAUUUCCAUCUCCAGAUUCACCCAAAAUUAUUCUACUCCUAUCCGGGAGAGAAUAGCCAAAAACAUUAUCUCAUUCCUGUUUUUCCCUGUGAAAUAAAUGCUUGAGAUAUUUUGGUAACUACCACUUGCUAUAUUAUUCCAAGAGAGAGAGUGCUCUAAAAAAAGAGAGAAGAAAAAGGAAAAAUACGAGGAAAUAAAAAAGGACAAGUGCACGAAACCUCGAAAAGAAAAGUGAGACGAGAGGUAAAAAUGGACAAGUGUCCGACAGUAGAAUUAGGGGUACAAGAUACCCACCUGAGAGAAAAGAAAAAUAAAAUAUGGAGCAUCUCAUUCCCCUCAAAAGCCUCAAGUGCAAGGAAGGUAUGUACCCCGUCAAAAGAGCAAAAGUAGAAUUAGACUUUCACCAUUGUUAUCAUCAUCAUCACCAUACACCAUUCACUCGCCACACAUGCACAUCUUGAUUUGACUUAUUGACUUGUUCUUCUGGAUCCAUGGUUUGACUAUGCAAUAAAUGUCUUGUAAGUAUGUAUACAUUAUCUCCCACCUAUGAGUUCCAGAUAUCAAGCCUUAUUAGAGUAGGGUGAGAGAGAAGGCAAUGUCACUAUGCCUUAUACCACAAAUACCACAUACUUUGAGAGAAGGCAUACACCAUUACUACCUUGGUAAGGAUCCACAAAUACCACAAAAGAGAGACUAGAGAGAGUCAUACAAGGAAUCUCUGAGUUUUAUUUGAAAAUCUGCAAAAAAACUCCAGAGCUAUAGUUGAUCAAGAACAAGAGACAUGGCGCUUGACUUGACCAUUCUAUCCUUUAACUGCUCAAGACACAAGUGACGGUUACAAGCCCAUGGUGGAAGGUAAUAUGAGUAAGUUUAAAUCUUAACAGUUUACCCUAACCCAGAGAUGAGAUCUUGUUUGAACGCAUGUGUACCUUUAAGGCAUGAAAUCACUACAGAAACUCUUGAGUCCAUCCUUGCUCAGAGACGAGCAAGACGUAAGCUUGUGGGAGUUGUUGACGGUCCUUAAGUAUCAAAUUUAAUCAUAAAAUAAAUAAAUAAAAGGAUCCAAAUGCAACCAACACCCAGACUUAUGGUUUUAUGUGACAGAAUUCUACGAGUUUUGGUGUUUCUCUAUUUCUGCAGAGGGUUACCAGGAAAUUUGGAGGAAAGGCCCACACAUCGGGUUUACAUAGAGAUAUUAAUAUGUGCGGCAAUUUUCUAUCAUCUAGAAGACUCCAGAAGCCACGGGAACGAACGGAAGGCCGAGCGAGCCCGGGGACAGGGCGCCCGCCCUGCUCUGACAGCUAAUAAAGCUCCGCCUCGAGGAUUAUGCUCCAACGCUUUUGAGGAUCAAGGAAAACCGUGCGAUUAAGGUCUGUUUGAUUCGACGGCCCACAUUCAUUUAGAGGGGCUACAUAAGCAGGCCCCCUGGCCCC